GGGGGCGUCACGGUUUCGACGUGUUUGGUGAAAGUGGAGCAGCGUGCCGAGGUUCUCGAUCCUCGUAAAUCCUCGGGAAAAUUUUCAACUGCCAACAACAACCUGGCACUGGCCGCUUAAGGUUCGUCCUUAAGUAGUCCGUCCCCUGGAUUGCCCGCCCGAGGCGAUCCUUGCGGACGUCGAUAAUUCGGGCUGGUCCUCCGGUCACGUCACCGGGCUGGAGGACGAGACACUUCAGGUGACUGGCCGAGGGUCCGGUUGUUCGCUGGCCACCCGCGGCGAGAUACUCAGCGAUCUACGCACGUAGAAGCUCUUCUGGAAGCAAUCGCGGACGCGGGUUCGACUCCCGCCGCCUCCACUC
rnacentral:tmRNA from 1 species